CAGUAGCCGCGGGAAUACGUAGGGUGCAAGCGUUAUCCGGAAUUAUUGGGCGUAAAGAGCUCGUAGGCGGUUUGUCGCGUCUGCUGUGAAAACUGGGGGCUCAACCCCCAGCCUGCAGUGGGUACGGGCAGACUAGAGUGCGGUAGGGGAGAUUGGAAUUCCUGGUGUAGCGGUGGAAUGCGCAGAUAUCAGGAGGAACACCGAUGGCGAAGGCAGAUCUCUGGGCCGUAACUGACGCUGAGGAGCGAAAGCAUGGGGAGCGAACAGGAUUAGAUACCCCCGUAGUCCCUGUCUCUUAUAC
rnacentral:rRNA from 1 species